GGACCCGCACAAGCGGUGGAUGAUGUGGUUUAAUUCGAUGCAACGCGAAAAACCUUACCCACCUUUGACAUGUACGGAAUCCUGCAGAGAUGCGGGAGUGCUCGAAAGAGAGCCGUAACACAGGUGCUGCAUGGCUGUCGUCAGCUCGUGUCGUGAGAUGUUGGGUUAAGUCCCGCAACGAGCGCAACCCUUGCCAUUAGUUGCUACGAAAGGGCACUCUAAUGGGACUGCCGGUGACAAACCGGAGGAAGGUGGGGAUGACGUCAAGUCCUCAUGGCCCUUAUAGGUGGGGCUACACACGUCAUACAAUGGCUGGUACAAAGGGUUGCCAACCCGCGAGGGGGAGCCAAUCCCAUAAAGCCAGUCGUAGUCCGGAUCGCAGUCUGCAACUCGACUGCGUGAAGUCGGAAUCGCUAGUAAUCGCGGAUCAGAAUGUCGCGGUGAAUACGUUCCCGGGUCUUGUACACACCGCCCGUCACACCAUGGGAGCGGGUUCUGCCAGAAGUAGGUAGCCUAACCGCAAGGAGGGCGCUUACCACGGCAGGGUUCGUGACUGGGGUGAAGUCGUAACAAGGUAGCCGUAUCGGAAGGUGCGGCU
rnacentral:rRNA from 1 species